AUGCCUUAAACUAAUGAGUAAGGAAAAUAACGAACCCUGGUGACGCGGGGUUCUCGUGACUUUGUUCAUAAUCAAUUUUUGAAGGGUUACAGGUUGCCCCUGGGUGACCCGCCUACUUCCGCGGGAUGCCCUUGUGUGCGAUCUCCGAAACCC